ACUCCUUGAAGCCUCUGGCAAACAGCAGUUGAUCUGCAAAGGCAGUCAUUGUGAUGUUUCCACUGUCGUGUUCCAGGUUCUUGCGUGGGGAGCAGUCUUCCAUGCCACCCCCAGAGACCAAGCUCAUUCUCCGACCUGCAUGCUCUCCACCAAGCCUGGCUCCAAACCAACUCUUCUCAGGUGCCUUGGUGCCUACGAGUCAAGUUAACAUCUCAGCAAACUGACAUGGAGCUUCACUCUACAACACUCAAAUCUCAGUGUUAAAUCUCAGAAUUGCCCAAGACAACUGAGCUGUUUUCUUUAUGCUUUACCAAGUACCUUGUGUCCACCUGCCCUCUUUUUAGAAAAAUGAUGCCAAGUCUUAUGUACUGGUGGAGGACAGUGUUCAUCUGCCGCCUUUAGCAGACCCCUUACCCAGCCAGCUUAGGUACACUAAGACAGCCCUGGAGUUGGAAGCCAAGGACACCAGUCGUAAUCUCAGCUGUGUUGGCAGCACCGGACAACUCACAACCUCUCUGAGCCCCGGGUUUUUCAUCAGUAACACAGCUAUAAUAUACUUGCUCCCCAAGGUAAGAUGAAAAUGAAUUAAAAAUGGCAUUUGGGAGUCAUAUUUAGCACUGUCCCUGGCCCAUAAUAAUCAUGUAUCGAUGUUAGCUAUUAUUCCUAAACAGCUGGAUUAAAAUGAAGAUACAUGCUUUUUAUAAAUAGCUUUUGUCCAGCACUGAAUUCACAAAAUGUUUUCACAGACAUUAUCACAUCUUGAGAGAACCAUUAAGAGAUAGGUAUCGGCGC
rnacentral:lncRNA from 1 species